GACGAACGCUGGCGGCGUGCUUAACACAUGCAAGUCGAACGAUGAAACCUAGCUUGCUAGGUCGAUUAGUGGCGAACGGGUGAGUAACACGUGACUAACCUGCCCCUUUCUCUGGGAUAACGCUCCGAAAGGAGUGCUAAUACCGGAUACUCACACCGAGGCACAUGCCUUGGUGUGGAAAGUUUUUCGGAAAGGGAUGGAGUCGCGGCCUAUCAGCUUGUUGGUGAGGUAACGGCUCACCAAGGCGACGACGGGUAGCCGGCCUGAGAGGGCGACCGGCCACACUGGGACUGAGACACGGCCCAGACUCCUACGGGAGGCAGCAGUGGGGAAUAUUGCACAAUGGGCGCAAGCCUGAUGCAGCGACGCCGCGUGAGGGAUGAAGGUCUUCGGAUUGUAAACCUCUUUCAGUAGGGACGAAGCGAAAGUGACGGUACCUGCAGAAAAAGCACCGGCUAACUACGUGCCAGCCGCCGCGGUAA
rnacentral:rRNA from 1 species